rnacentral:rRNA from 1 species
GAUCUUUAUAAAAAGAUAGUUUAAUAAAAAUUAGUUAAAAUUAUUUUUAAAUUAUUUUUUUAUUAUAUUGGGGUAAUAAUAAAAUUUUUAAAAUUUUUAUUUUUUAAAAACAAUUAUAAUUGAGAGAUAAAUGAUCCAAUAAUAUUGAUUAAGAAAUUAAGUUACCUUAGGGAUAACAGCAUAAUGAUUUUUGAGAGUUCUUAUUGAUAAAAUAGUUUGU